rnacentral:lncRNA from 1 species
CAGUUGGGUCCCAGCAUAGAAGACACCGCCCCGUCGACCCCCACGCACCACACCACGGAAAACAUCCCAGGGCUUUGUCCAUCCGCCGUCCCCACCCACACAACUGAAGGGUGUAAGUUUUGCCACGAAGAUGGAGGAUUCAGAAUGGUGUCAGUAAUAUGAUCCUCGGGCUCCUCUGGGCAGAGACUCACGCCAGGAUGACUGGGAAGCCUCCUGCAGACUCAGCCGGU